rnacentral:rRNA from 1 species
UACGAAGGGGGCUAGCGUUGUUCGGAAUUACUGGGCGUAAAGGGUGCGUAGGCGGGUCUUUAAGUCAGGGGUGAAAUCCUGGAGCUCAACUCCAGAACUGCCUUUGAUACUGAAGAUCUUGAGUUCGGGAGGGGUGAGUGGAACUGCGAGUGUAGAGGUGAAAUUCGUAGAUAUUCGCAAGAACACCAGUGGCGAAGGCGGCUCACUGGCCCGAUACUGACGCUGAGGCACGAAAGCGUGGGGAGCAAACAGG